rnacentral:lncRNA from 1 species
CUUCUCAACAGACACUCCUUUAACACUGAACACUGUGACCCUUAUAUCUGCACCUGAGCUGUCGAACUAUCUCGUGAGAUAUGCCUGCAUAGCACAGGAAGAAGGAUCAAUAGUUUGUCAAAGCAUCUCCAAAUAACUUAUAAAGGAAGAUCAACAUGUGUGCAAGCUGAAUAAUAUAAUAAAGACUUUCUUCUGCUUCUGCUUUCUACUAUCUCUGGAAUCACCCAGACAAGCACAGUGAAUGGAAUGUCCUUUUAGUCCACAUUUCUGACAACAUCUUCCAGCAAGGUUAUUCCUGUCUUCACCGGAGAAGUCAUCGGAAUAAAUUUUGUGCCUCAUGUUUCUAUCACUAAAUCUCAAAGAACUUGCGGACUCUGGAGCCUUUGUUUAUUUCUUGAGCUCUCACCAGGAUUGUCCUUAAAACUCC